GAAAAAAGAUGUCAUCUUUUCAUCUUUCUUCCUUCCUCCACCGAAAAUACCAGCAAAAUAGGGGUUUUGAGAGCUCAAAAUUUCAGCAACUUCCAUCCCUUGCAAGUAAGUGAUUUUGAUGAUCAUUUUUGUUGAUUUUUGUGUUUUGUGACCCUUAUAGCAUGAGCUAACUAAAGGGGAGACUAUUUUGCAAAAUGGUUGAAAGUCUAGGGUUUUUCCAUGAGAGUAUUUAUGUUGUUUACUGAAUUUUUAUGGAAGAAAAUGAGUCUUGGUUGUGUAAUAAAUAACUUUUGUGAAAGAAGUUUGCAUGAAAACACCUAAAAAGGGCCAUUUUGUAAAGUUGUAAAAUAAGUUGUAAAUGUGUGAAAUAAUUGAAUUUGUGAGUUGCUAUAGUUAUAAAAAAUAAUUCAGCUAGGCUUGGUAAAGGAUGAAAUUCGAUGAAAAUUGAUUUACGAGCCUAAGGGCAAAAUUGUAAUUUUUGUAAAGUAUAAGGGCAAAAUAGUCAUUUUGCUAAAUUGUGAAUUAUAGAAUGUUUUAAUUAAUGUAAUGAUUAAAUGAGUGAAUUUCAUCAUGUUAGAUCAAGAGAAUCGAGAUUUGAGUUUAAAUCGGAAAGUACGAGGUUAUGGACUAAAAUGGAGUAAUUAGCCGAAAUUGCAUUCGAGGUAAGUUCAUAUGAUUAUAAUAAUGCUAUGUUAUGUUUGAAUUAUAAUUCUUUACUAUUAUUGCAUAUAUUGUAUGAGUUAAUAUAUAUAGUGGAAAAGUUGAUGAAAUGGCGUAUAUGAUGUGGAAAUAUUACAUGAAAUGCAAGAAAAUGUUGAUCCAUGACAAGUGAUAUAUGCAAUAUGUGAUACGUGUUAUGUAAAUUCUUAAAAGCUUAUUUGCUAUUUGAGUUAUGCCUUAUUAUGCUAUGAGAGGGCAGAUGAUACCAUGGACAGUGAGAUCGACACUUCGAGUAAGUUCGACAGAGAUAGAGUAUCGAAAAAUCCUGUCUGAACCUUAGGAAUAGUUUAGGGUACAAGUGACAUGUCACUAAGAUUUAAGAAAUCUGAACUUGUUGAGUUAGUCCAAGUUCGUGAUAUAUAUGAGGUAUCUGAGCUCGUUGAAUUGGUCCGAGUUCACUAUGGAUGCGAUACAUAUAAUUGGGUUCUGGGCAAUUUGUGUGAGUAGCCCGUGUAACUACACCUUGAUCGAUAGCUUUUAUGAGUAAGCCCGUGAGUAGCUCCAUUGGGAGCAUUACAUGUUAUGAGGUAGUUUGACUAAGUAUGUGUAUGUGGCACAUAUGUGCAAGUGUUCCACAUUUCCAAUAGUAUUCCGAUGUGUUCAACGGGUAAUACAAUGGAUGAUGUAAGGAAAGUCCAGAAGAUGACAUGUUACGAAAGGUAUGGUUAUAUACUAUACUACGAGUGGUACAAGUAUGUAUGCUAAGCUUAUGAUUAUUGAGACUUUGAAAUGUUGAGACAUCGGUGAACUAAGAUGUAUGAAUUAUGAUUAUGAAUUUUGUCACAAUAUCAUGUUAACUUAUAUUGUACAUUUGAAUGUGGAAUUCCUAAAAUGGUGAGUUCAUGAUUAGUUGAAAGUGAACUUACGAUAGUUAUCAUUAUAUUCACUAAAGCAGUGUUGGGCAGCAGCAGUUGUGUGAAUUUAAAAAUCCACCAAAAAUUGUGGAAAUUGAGUUAGAGGUUAAAUAAAAUAUGAAAUUAAAGCUUAAUGAGUCUAGUUUCACAUAGAAGAAAUGGUGUAAGCAAAGUAGUUUCAUAUUAUGAAAUAUUUAAAUUGUUGUGAGACAGAGUCAGAAUGAUUUCGAAAUCCCCUAUUCUGAUUUGAGAAAAUCACUUAAAAUUGUAAAAAAAUAUUUAUGGGUUAUAAUUUAUAUUCUUAGAAUUCUUAAUGAGUCAUGAGAUAAUUAGUUUUUAGUGAAGUGGGAUCGGAACUGUCAAACAUCGAAAAAGGGGUAAAAUUAAGGAAUAAACUAUACUUAUUGGCUAGACCAAAAAUUCUGAAAAUUUUAUGAUAAGAAGAUAUGUGAGUCUAGUUUCAAGGAAAAUUUGCGAUCCUAAUUUGGAGUUCCGCAGCUUCAGAAAUAAAUAAUUUAGUAACUAUGACUCGAGAAAACAACUUGAUUGAAACAUAAGUAAAAGUGCAAAUAGGGUUGUAUUACCUUGAGAAGCAAGUUGAUAAAUUGCUUAUUAUUUUCAUACGGUCUUACUAAGCUAUAAAGUUUACCCUCUCCUUUCCAUUUCUUUUAGCUUUGUCAAGUUAGCUCAGGGUUAGAGAUCGUCGGAGGCAGCAUCACACUAUUAAGUCACCACCUUUGGAAUAAUGAAGCAUACGUUAGAAACUUUCAAGUGAGUGACAUGUAUAAGGAUCUAAUUUUAUGGCAUGUGUUAUUAUGCUUUGGCCAAAUGUAUUGGCUUAUAUUAAGUUAUAUGUAUAUGGCCAUGAGAUGUGGCUCAUAUUGAUUACGGUUUGUAAAUCUAGCUAUUCGUGUUAUGUCUAGUGUUUAUGAUGUGACUAUGUUUGUUUGCCAAGCUUGGUGGGUAAUAUGACAUGAGUG
rnacentral:lncRNA from 1 species